UAAAGAUCAACAUUUUGUAGAGCAAUAACAGCAUCAAAUAAUGGAAAUAAUGGACCCUACUGCUCAAAUCAAAAACAAAAUUUCAGCAUUACUACUUUAUUGGUUAUAUCAAUAAAAGAAAUGAUUGAGUUUAUGAGUCUAGAUCCUACAAGCAAGCAGAUCUAUCACAUAAUUUUAAAUGAAGAUUUAUCUAUUAUAGUAAUUUAUUCUAAUAACGAAAAAAAAACUUUGGAUCAAAAAAUAUUUUCUUCUGAUGAGGUUUAUGAAUAUUAAAGUCUGUUGAAGUUUGGCCAUUAUGUGUUGGUAUACAAUUUAUUUAUGAUGUUACAGUAGUUAAACCAUCCGAGUACAAAACAUGUUUAAAAUCCACUAUUCUUAAUGAAUGGCAACUACCAACUUGAGAGGAAGCUAAGAGAAAGGUUCUAUUGGGUGGACUACAAGAAAAAGGGACAUAUACAUGAGGAUCUGGAAGGGCUAUAACAUUACGUCUCAAGCCAUGGAACAAUAGGAAACGAAAUUCAAAGGAAAAUAUUACAAUACGUGGGAUGCAAAUUAUAGUGCAAGGAAUUGAGAAAAAGAAUUAUUAAAAGUAGUUAUUGUUACGAUAGUUAAACCAUCCGACUACCAAAUAUAUUUAAAAUCCACUAUUUUGAAUGAAUAGCAACUACCAACUUGGGAGGAAGCUGCAAGAACGAUUCUAUUGGGUGAACUACCAGGAAGACAUGAGCAUCUGGAAGGGCUAUAAAAUUAUAUUAUUAUUUCACGUCCCAAGCCAUGUUGGAAUAGCUGGGAGUGAAAAAGAAGAUAAUACUGCACACGAUUCUUGUCUAGAAGUAGUUGAUAUUAAGGUAUAUAUGGCGGUAAGCCAUCCGACUAUCGAACAUUUAAAAUCCACUAUUCUGAAUGAAUGGCAACUACGUAAUAAGAUGGCAAAACGUAAAUAAAUACUUGUACAGUAUAAACUUAUAUUAUAUUGGCUUAAUUUUUAUACUAAAUAAAAUGUGUUACGUU